CAGUCGCCGCGGGAAUACGUAGGUCCCGAGCGUUGUCCGGAUUUAUUGGGCGUGAAGCGAGCGCAGGCGGUUAGAUAAGUCUGAAGUUAAAGGCUGUGGCUUAACCAUAGUACGCUUUGGAAACUGUUUAACUUGAGUGCAAGAGGGGAGAGUGGAAUUCCAUGUGUAGCGGUGAAAUGCGUAGAUAUAUGGAGGAACACCGGUGGCGAAAGCGGCUCUCUGGCUUGUAACUGACGCUGAGGCUCGAAAGCGUGGGGAGCAAACAGGAUUAGAUACCCCCGUAGUCCCUGUCUCUUAUACA
rnacentral:rRNA from 1 species